CCGGAUGUAAAUAGAAACGCACCAUUCAUCCCUUGCUGAAAAAAAGAACUUAUGUUUGGGACCGGCUUGGAUACCGUUGCAUACGUCUUAUUUCUAUCACUACAAAGUUAUACAGUAAGAUAUUGAAUUCAAGUCUACAUACUAAGCUAGUGGAUAAUUAUAUUCUUUCUGAAGAGCAGGAUUUCGUACUUUGCGCUCAUUCUUGAUCAAUUUAUAGCGUUUGUACUGUAACGAAUACUAAUGAAUAAAGAUACAUAUCUGUG
rnacentral:lncRNA from 1 species